rnacentral:RNase_P_RNA from 3 species
AAGCAAGCCAAGAUGGUUGCCCCGGCGUUUUCCGACAUCGUCUCGGAAUAAUUACGGCGGGGAGGAAAGUCCGAGCUCCAGAGGAUCAUGCAUCCUGUUAAUUCAGGACACUCCCGGCGCUUUGUUUUGCAAAGGGGCGGGGGGAGGAUCAGAGCCACAGAGACGAGUCGUUCCCCAUAGGAGGGUGUAAUCUCGCUACCUCUAAAAAUUUGGAGAGGUGAUGAUUCCACGAGUCCCACCUAUGGUGGGGCGGGUGAAACGCGGCAAUCUCUGCAUGGAGCAAGACCGAAUAGGGGAAGAUACCUGUAAAAUUCGAAGCAUGUCCGCCUCAGGCGGACGAUAUUCAGAUUUCGGAUUUUAAAGGUAACGAGGUGAUCCGCUUCGUCAUUAUUCCCGGGUAGGUUGCAAGAGUCCGGUUCCCCUUCAAUAUCACGCAAGAAGAUGAGGGAGGGAAUUCCCGCGCGCCUAGCCUGCCUGCCCUGUCUGCCGACAGGCAGGCGGCAGGCAGGCGUGAGGGAAAGAGUGAUCUCCGGAGUCAGUGGAAUAACCAUCACCCUUUAUGGGAUAACAGAACUCGGCUUACUUGGUUUGCUUGAAU